GACAGAGGGUGCAAACGUUGUUCGGAUUUACUGGGCGUAAAGGGCGCGUAGGCGGCCAGCACAAGUCAGUUGUGAAAUCUCCGAGCUUAACUCGGAAAGGUCAACUGAUACUGUGCGGCUAGAGUGCGGAAGGGGCAACUGGAAUUCUUGGUGUAGCGGUGAAAUGCGUAGAUAUCAAGAGGAACACCGAUGGCGAAGGCAGGUCUCUGGGCAUUAACUGACGCUGAGGAGCGAAAGCAUGGGGAGCGAACAGG
rnacentral:rRNA from 1 species